rnacentral:rRNA from 1 species
GGGCCGCGGUAAUUUGACCGUGCAAAGGUAGCGUAAUAGUUAGUUUUUUAAUUGGAAUCUUGUAUGAAUGGUUGGACAAAAGAAAUACUGUCUCUAUAAUUUUUAUUGAAUUUAACUUUUAAGUGAAAAGGCUUAAAUAUUUUAAAAAGACGAUAAGACCCUAUAAAGCUUUAUAAUUAAUUCUAUUUAAUUAAAUUAAUAAAUAAAAUUUUAAUAGAUUAAAUUAUUUUAUUGGGGAGAUAAAAUUAUAAUUUAAAAUAACUGUUAAUAACUAAUACAAUUAUAUAUGUGUAAUUUAAAAUAGUAGAUCCUAUAUAAAGAUUAAAAGUUUAAGUUACUUUAGGGAUAACAGCGUUAUUUUUCUUGAGAGUUCUUAUCGAAAGAAAAGAUUGCGACCUCGAUGUUGAAUUAAAAUUUCUAGAUAAUUGUAGAAGUUAUCGUUUAGUGGGUCUGUUCGACCUUUAAAAUUUUA